rnacentral:rRNA from 1 species
UGGGGAAUAUUGCACAAUGGGCGCAAGCCUGAUGCAGCCAUGCCGCGUGUGUGAAGAAGGCCUUCGGGUUGUAAAGCACUUUCAGCGGGGGGGAAGGCGUUAAGGUUAAUAACCUUGGCGAUUGACGUUACCCGCAGAAGAAGCACCGGCUAACUCCGUGCCAGCAGCCGCGGUAAUACGGAGGGUGCAAGCGUUAAUCGGAAUUACUGGGCGUAAAGCGCACGCAGGCGGUCUGUCAAGUCGGAUGUGAAAUCCCCGGGCUCAACCUGGGAACUGCAUUCGAAACUGGCAGGCUAGAGUCUUGUAGAGGGGGGUAGAAUUCCAGGUGUAGCGGUGAAAUGCGUAGAGAUCUGGAGGAAUACCGGUGGCGAAGGCGGCCCCCUGGACAAAGACUGACGCUCAGGUGCGAAAGCGUGGGGAGCAAACAGG